CCCCUAGAUGUUCUGGGCCGCACGCGCGCUACACUGAACAGUUCAACAAGUCUUAACCUUGGCCGAUAGGUCUGGGUAAUCUUUGAACGCUGUUCGUGAUUGGGAUAGACCUUUGCAAUUAUGGGUCUUCAACGAGGAAUUCCUAGUAAACGCCAGUCAUCAGCUUGCAUUGAUUACGUCCCUGCCCUUUGUACACACCGCCCGUCGCACCUACCGAUUGAAUGGUCCGGUGAAAUCUCGGGACGGCGGCUUGGUCGCUUGCGUCCGACUGCUGAAACUUGAUUAAACCAUAUCAUUUAGAGGAAGGUGAAGUCGUANCA
rnacentral:rRNA from 1 species